rnacentral:ncRNA from 1 species
GUAUAAACGAGAGCGAGAGCUGGUUGGCAUCUCCCCCAACAAGGAUGGCUUGGGGUUUCACCUAUUACCACACAUCCGUUUAAGGCAAUCCAACUCGAUAUAGAAAAAUCUUUGG